GACGAACGCUGGCGGCGUGCUUAACACAUGCAAGUCGAACGAUGAAGCUGGAGCUUGCUCCGGUGGAUUAGUGGCGAACGGGUGAGUAACACGUGAGUAAUCUGCCCUUGACUCUGGGAUAACUGCGGGAAACUGUAGCUACUACCGGAUACGACACCUUCGGGCAUCCGAUGGGUGUGGAAAGAAUUUCGGUCAAGGAUGAAUGCGCGGCCUAUCAGCUAGUUGGUGAGGUAAUGGCUCACCAAGGCGACGACGGGUAGCCGGCCUGAGAGGGUGACAGGACACACUGGGACUGAGACACGGCCCAGACUCCUACGGGAGGCAGCAGUGGGGAAUAUUGCACAAUGGGCGAAAGCCUGAUGCAGCAACGCCGCGUGAGGGAUGAAGGCCUUCGGGUUGUAAACCUCUUUUAGUUGGGAAGAAGCGAAAGUGACGGUACCAACAGAAAAAGCACCGGCUAACUACGUGCCAGCAGCCGCAGUAA
rnacentral:rRNA from 1 species